GCUAAAUGGCAGUCAUGGCUGGCAUCGUGAGACCUUUAAUUAGUGACAAGUGAUUCGGAAAAGUGUUUUUGGUAUUCAGUGUUAAAGGAAUUGAAUAUAAUUUGUUGGAAUCCACAGCAUAGGCCCUUAAGGGCCUCUACAAUUCGGAGAAACCUCGAGGUGGUUGUGAAACUCGCAAGGCGAGCGGAUUGUUUCGGAUGCUGCCGGCAGCGGGGAACAGCGCACACAGCCACGGCACGGUCACGAGGAAAACCUCGAAAUUUAUUAACUUGUAAGGUACGUUCUUGCAUGCGCAACACCAGCCACCCAUGGCUUCGAUAAAACCUUACUUUCGUUACUUUCUCACAGUUGCCCCCCUUUUCCGCUCCCGAGCGGAGUCGUUUAUUCGCCCGCGCGAUAAAACUCGUCCGGUAUACGCCUCCCAUCGGUUUCUCGCGAGGGGGGCAACCCUUUUCAUUUGAACUGCGGCUGCCUGCUGCCGCUCGUGAAGAAAUAAUGUUGGGAGGAAAAAAAAGAAAAGAAAGGAAAAGAAAAGAAAAG